GAGGACGUAGCUCAGUUGGUAGAGCAACGGACUUUUAAUCCGUAGGUCCCGGGUCCGAGCCCCGGCGUCCUCA
rnacentral:tRNA from 1 species